rnacentral:rRNA from 1 species
CAGCAGUCCAAGAAUAUUAGUCAAUGCUCGAAAGAGUGAACUAGCUAACUGAAAUCAAUUAAAAAAUUGAUAACAUAAGGGAAAAUAAUGAUAUUACCUUAUUAUUAGUGUCGUCCAAAACUGGUGCCAGAAGACUCGGUAAGGCCAGAGACAUAAACGUUAAUCGUCUUAAUCAGGCGUAAAGGGUUUGUAGGCGGCUUUUAAUUAAUUUAUAAUAAAAUUAAAAAAUAAAAAUAAAUUAAGAAUAAAAGCUAGAAUCAAAUAGAGGAUAUAUCAAAUAAUGCUUAGAGUAGGUCUGAUAUCCUUAAAUACUAAGUAGAAUAUUAAAGGCGAAAGCUUUUUUCCAUUAAUGAUUGACGCUCAGAAACGAAGGUGAGGAUAGGAAAUAGGAUUAGAUACCCAAAAUACCCCUCUCUGUCAACGAUGAAUGGUAAUUAUUAGUAAUUAAUUUAUUAAUGAUAAUGUUAACACGAUAACCAUUCCGCCUUGUGAGUACAACUGCAAAGUUGAAAACAAAAAAAUUAGUCGGUUUCGGAGCAAACGAAGUGAAGCAUGUUAUUUAAUUCAAUAAAUCCGCA